CCCUCACUUCCGGCUCCCCACUUCCCGCUCCCCACCUCUCCUUAUUCUCCACAGCUCGGCUCUCUCAUGACUGUAAGAACAAGCAGGUGACAGCUGCAGUGUCACCACGCUGAGCCGGUUACACACGGAGUAGUAUGCAGACGCCGCACAACACAGACACUCAAAAAUGCAGCAGUUUUGGAAACCAGAGCAGUGGGUUCAGCUUGGUGUGUGCGCCCAGGAGAUGGGGCUCUCUGUUGAGCUAACCACCCUUCCACCUUCCAGAGAACAUGGAGAAGCUUUUAGUCAAAACAACCUUCCUGAGUCCAUGCCUUCUCCAGCUAUUCUGGUGCCAUGCGUGUUUUGCAGUGAGGCUUUUAUCUCUUGGAUAGAGAGCGCUUACAGGGAUGCUCCACACAAUCCCCCUUCAUCCGUCUCCCCAGGUUGCAGCCAGCUGACUGGGCCGCCCCAAAAUCUCCCUCAUCAAAGUGCUCAAUUGGGACGCCAUAGUUACCAAGCUGGUGGUGGGCGGCCAAGGUUCAGGAGGCUCGGGCAUCUCCAGGGAUUGAGAUGGAGCUGGCAUCAGGCAAGGGAGCACUCUCCCAGAGCUCAGGAGGAAGACUAGGCCAAGGUCCCUCUCCCAGGGCUAUUAACUAGGUGGACAGGGAAGCUGGGCCUGGCUUCCUUCCUUGAGUGUGCCUGCUCUUCACCUGUGACUUGACUGUCCUACUGAAGGUCAGCCUCCGUGAAGCUGCUGUGCUUUACCAGAUGGGGCCAGUGGAAGAUGUCAUCCUGGCUCUCAGAUUGUCCACUCGGAAUGGAGUGAGAAGCUCAUUUACCACAGGCCGGUGGUGUGAUGUGGGGCCUGCCCGGAGCUCUGCCAGUGGGCGCAGGAUGGACGUGCCAACCACCAGCACUCAAGCGGCGAUCAAGUACAGGCGUGCACACCUCAGGAUGACUCGGGUGAAGAAUGUCUCGGGACUCUUGACCUCGGUGGGAGGAUGCAGACUCCUUCGAUGCAUAUGUUAUUGCUGGGCCUGGAAGGAAGUUCCCUGCGCCCAGGCCUCUCUCUCUGCCUUGCACCCUCUCAUUUAACCCUCAGCCUGGCCUCAAGAGUGAAGAUGACCUAGUAAACACACUGGCCUGAGGAUACCAAGGCACUGACACAGGUAAGGAGCUGCCUCGGCCUCCAGCUCCAGAGCGCAGGACUGCCCGGCUCCCCUGCUGUGCAUCUCCAGUGUUGUGGUGACCCCACUGAGGAGGAUGUGGAGCGUGAUAUGCAGAGAGGCCUGCCAUGGGGAGGGCCUCGGCCAGCUCACAGGGUCUGGGCCCGCGAGAGUCAGACCAGGCACCUGCGCGAAGCCUUUCUGUGGUGAGCAACAGUAAACUCAAAUCGAACCAGCCUAAGCCAGAAGAGCCACUGAGAUAUCCUGGAGACUUGCUUUGAUCUAGGGGCUCAAGUGUCGUCACCAGCACACAGACCGCCUUCUCUGCACUGGCUUCCUUUAUACCGCAGCUCUUCCCGCAAUGCCACGCGGGUCCCCAGAUCAUGGCUCAGAGCCGGCGAGAACAGUGCCACCUCUUCCUGGAGAUCAGGGAGACCAGCAUUUCCUGGUCGGGCUCUGAGUCCCAGCUUGACUCAUUCUCAUCCUUGGCUAGUCGCACUGCUGGCCGGGAGCUCCCACCAGCCCAGCCAGUGUGGGAGAUGCGGCUCCCAGAGCCCAGUCAAAGUCACGUUGAGUGCUGGGCUUGAGGGUCUGCUCAGGGAUGGGGAUAGAGACCCAGCUAUGGAAGGCAUGC